rnacentral:lncRNA from 1 species
GGGUAUUUUCCUGUUGACCUGAAGAUGAUGGGCAGGAGAGAAGGACCCACAACCAAUAUGCUCUAGUAAAUGUCCUUAUGAGCAGAUGCCAAAGAUCACAAGAUAUCAAUAAAUAAUGGAAAAAUGUAGACACAAAUCUCUUAAGACAAAGGAUAAGGAUCCCUCCCACACUUCUCUUUUUUGAAUAUAUUCCCUCUAUGGUCCCUCCUCUUCCCAUUGCUGCCUCCUUUUGUCUGAUCUUUGUAUUGUCUUGGAGUGUUUGAUUGUAAUAUUCGUGUGAAAACCUUUUGAGUUAAGCUAAUACAGGAGCAUUCCUUAACUUCCCUAGUACAAGCAUAGCAGCUAUCAAAAGAAUCUCCUAAGAUUUUCCCAGUGCAAUAGUGUUGACCAUUUAUAGUUUAUAUAUGAUCCUAAGACCCCUAAAAGGGCAUGAAUACAGAGAGAAGUAGAUUUUGGUAAUUGUUGGGCCAGGGUUGCAGGAGGAGCUUAUGAUUCAGAACUAGGAGGGGGAAAGGUACUAGCAUUUAUUGGAGGCCUAAAUGCUAUUCUAGAUAUUUUAUGUGUGUAAUUUUCCCAGUAGCUAUAUUGUAAAGCAGGCAUUAUAUUUUCAUUUUACAUAUGAUAAAACUGAGAACCCAGAGGGUUUUAGUAACUUGACCAGUGCUACACAACCAAGAAAGCACUGAAUGAUAACAGUUGCCAUAUGCACACAGGCUAGCAUCACUUCUUUCAGAUGUGGUGUGGUGAGGGCUGUCUAGGAAGAAGAUAGUUUUACACUUUAGAUGAAUUCACACCCUUGCUGCCAUCUGUUUCAACUUCUAUUGAAAUACUCAUAAUAUAUUAAACUAUUUCAGACACGAGACAACUUCCUGCAAAAAGAACUAUUUCUCAUAUAACUCUUCUGGGUUAUAUAGAAAUAGGAGACAAUGAAGAUUUAACAGUGGUAGUUGAGACUGGCAAUUCAACAGUUAAUGCCUGGUGGCAUAAAGCCUCCUGUAGAGAUGAACAACAGAGUGAGAAUUUUAGCAUAUUGGACUUUGGCAGGCAUAGAGUGCAGCAAAUGAGCCUCUUGACAUAUGAUGGCAUCUCAUCAAUUGAAAAGCCCAAAGAAUGUUCUAAACCUUCCAGUCUCUUCUCCUGCAGAGAUAAUAUCACAUCAUUUCUGAGAACAGCAGAAAGUUUAUUUUGUGCAUUUUUCAAAUUUAAAAACUCACAUCCAAGUUCUUCUUAUAAUUUUAAUGGUCCAAGAAAAUGUUCAACCCCAUUGUCUCUUUUAGUUAUUACUAUUGAGAAGCCACUUUAAGAGAAAGACCUUUCUUUUCUCUUUUCAAGAUAAAGACCACCAAAAUAAAUCAUUUCACACAAUUUAUUCAGAAAGGAAGCACAUGUGAAUAUUUCUUAAUCUUCCACAAAGCUCUCCACCCCUGUAAAAAAGAAAGUAUUAAAAUGAAAUGAUAACAACUUGGAGUCCAACAAAUUGUGAUUGUUGAGAGAAAAAUAUAAUAAAAGCAGAGGUUUGCUCUAGGUGGUUCCAUGAGAGACCUCUCUCUUUAAUAGCACUGUUUUUCAUGUCCACUCUCAUGUAUUCAUGAGAAGCCUUUCUUCUCAUCUACUGUCUGGUCACCAUUUUUGGCUUUCUUCUUAAAUUUAACAUGAAAUAACAAUUAAAAAAAUAAAAAAUAAAUAAAUUUAACAUGACCAAUGUGGAAUGCAUAAACCUUUUCUGAAAGUCCACUUUAACUCAUGGCCCCCCACCUAUUUUUAAUGGAAUGGUAAUAUCCUAACCCACUUCAAUUCCAGGAGCCAUCAUGAAGUCCCGUUCUCUGACAGGUUGCCUCUUCAGAUCAUCACCUUUCUCAACAGCCACAGUUCUCCCGUGAGCUUUUGCCUUCCCAUCCUUCAAGACAUCAUGCUCUUUCAGGCCCUUCUUGCCUCACAUAUAAAUCACUGCCAUGGUCUCUUAGUUGACUACCCCUCAUCUGUUCCACCCUCAGUGCUUCUCAUGGCUUCUAGUAGAUGAUUUCAAACUCUAAUUUUCAUUGAUCAACCUCACUACGUAUUAACUUCAUGAUUCCUCCCUUCUAGCCAGGCAGUUCUCGUCAUGGUCUUCCCAAAGCAUGAGGGUAUUCUAGGCACUAUUUUAAGCACUUUUUCACAUACCAUCUAAUUCAGUUCUCACAAAUGUAUAGCGAAUAAGAGUGCUGACUGGUUGCAUUGGGUUUUGAACUUGGGCAGGUAAUAUAAUCCAUUGUAUGACCUUGGGCAGUUAAGGUAAUUGUUCCAUGUGUUUGUUUCCUCAUCUGUAGAAUGAGGAUAAUCCUAACACCUUCUUUACUAAGUUAUUGUAAGGAUUUAAUGCACAAACCUAUUAACAGUGCUUGGCCCAUGAGGCAUGCUCAAUAGAUGUUGACUGUUAGUAUCACAUCAUACAGAAGAAGACACUGAGGCACAGAAAGGUUAAGCUAUUGUCAAGGUCCUGUAACUGUUAGUGAAGUUGGAGUCUGAACCAAAUCUGACUGCGAAAUUCACCUAAGCAUUAUACUAUGCAGCUUCUCUUCAUACCAUGUACACCUGCAGUCCCUCCCCAAUCUCCUUCCUUUAAGGAAUAGCAUAGACCUCCAGGACCAUGAGUAGCUGCCCUCACUCUACUCUGAGAUGCCAUGGAAGCCAUAGAGAGGGAGCAGAUGGCCCUGUAUGUGGCUCUAGCCACUUCAUCUUGAUUCCUGGCCAGGAGGCUGUAAUUGCCAACACCUGACCCCUCUUGUACUCUGAAUGCUUUGAGUGACAGUGCAUGGUUUGGGCAGAAAAUGUUGAUCUCUCAGCAUUAAGAUGCCUGGAUUGAGGCUCUCAAUGAGGGAAGCAGAAAAAUGCAAUAUUGUUAUGUCAUAAGAAAGGCUAUUAAAGAGGUGCUGCCUGUACUUUAGGAUGCCAGAGAUGGCUGAGAGACCUGGUCCACCUAGGGAUCAUCCUCUGGUGAAAGGAGUCCAUUUUCACUGCAUGGGCCAUAUCUAUGGCUUGAAGAUCUCUAUUAUACAUCUGACUAGUGAAUUCCCAAACAGAGAAGAACUCUUUUGAUUCAUAAUUAUUAGUGUAGGACCGAGUUAAUUGGUUUCGGCAGAAAGAGACCCCUAGAAUGCUGGAGGAAAGAAAAGAGAAAACUAAUAUUUUAUUAUAUAAGGCUCUCUUCUGUACCAGACACCAUUCCAUACAUUGUCAUACAUUCCAGAGAUAAGUUUAUCAAAUUUUGAAAAGCACUUUUUAUGUGCCGGGAAGGCACAUGGUAAUUCCUGGGGCUCUGAGAUGAAUAUGGUGGACAUACCCCUUGCCCUCUUGGAGCUUACAGUAUUGCAGAGGGAAAGAUAUAGAGCAAACAUUUACUUCUCUUCAACCCCUGAGAAGCAGGAAUGUAUUUCCACAUUAUAAAUGUGGAAACUGAGGCUCUGAGAUAUAAUCCAUCUUGCUUAAUAUUGCAGGCCUAUUAAGUUAAGAAGUAGAAGGAGUUCUCUGGUGGCCUAGUUAUUAAGGAUCCAGUGUUGCCACUGCAGUGGUGUGGAUUCAAUCCCUGACUGGGGAACUUCCACAUGCCUGGGCAUGCCCCCCCCCCCCCCCCGCCAAAAAAAAACAAACCAAAAAAAACGGAAGUAGAAUUUUAUUCCCAGUUCUUCCCAGACAUUAAUUUUAAUAUCCUCCUAUUUGCCAUAGAGUCUCUUCUGCCAUUAAUUUUAUGAAUAGCUUUGUAGCUAACAUUAGGUUAAACAAUAAAUUUCAGAGGCAGGCUUCUGAGAUUUUAACAUAUUGGAUUGUUCUUCAUGAAAUAAGCCAAAUCUUUUCAUUCAGCCUACAGAAAUUCUCAGCACCAGAGUUUUGAGUAUUGACUCUUUUUCAUAAGCACUAGGUGGGUAUAUUAGACACAAUUAUUUCUGAAUAACUCAAUAACAAUAAAAAAUUUUCUACCUAAUCCCUUAAAAAGUAUAUAUAUUGAUUUCAAAUAAAAUUAGUUCCCUGGUUAAAAAGUGGCUUGAACGGUAGUAUUUAAUCCUCCUCUCAGCCUCAGCAAGUAGAUUCCCACUGAAAUGCCAGAAGACACGUAGAAACAGAGAACAUUUUGUAUCCACCCUGGGAAACAGGAAAGGAUAUGUGAUCAUCAGAAUAAGCUUAAGAAAGCUUCUCUUAUGCUUGUCUGCAUGUCUGUCACAGCAAAGGUUUAUUCCUCAACCCCCUUCUCCUUCACAUUUUUCCUGGAAUGUUACCCUUCCAGUGAGAUCUUAUGUGCAAAUUUUCCUAUUUCUCUUCUUCUGAUGGUACGUUUGUCUUCCCUGUUUUAUUUUUCUACAUAGCUUAAAGCAAUCACCCAUCAUAGUAUAAAUUUAGCUUUCUUAUUUUAUUGUCUGUCUUCCUGUUUUGUACCAGUAGAAUACAACCUCUACAAAGGAAGGGUUUCUUUGAUUUUUCAUUGCUAUAUCCCUGUUGCCUAAGAUCCUGGUAUACAGAAGGCACUGAAUCAGUACUUCUUAAAUGAAGGAAUCCCUGUUUUACUUAUGAGGAAACUGAGGUUAGAGAAUGCUGUGCUCUCAUUCUGCCCCAUUUUGUGGUCAUCAUUAUGUUUAUGAGAUUUCUCCAUGUUGACAGAUAUAGAUCUUAUUAAUUCUCCUUGGCAUGGUAUUACAUAAUUUGGAUAUUAUUUUUCUGUUCCCUCAUGGAUGGGCAUCUGUGCCGUUUCCAAUUCUAAUAGAACAACUUAGUGCUGGUAUUGAAUUGGGUGUUUCCAGUUGGCUCAAAAGUGAAGAAAUCAGCAAAAGCCUAAAGCUAAGGACAAAAGGAACUAGAUCCAUCCACAUUCUAUAUGGAUGGACAUGUCAGCCACAAGUGCCACCUGCCUCUCUGCAGGGCUUGCCUCUCCCAACUGGUUAUAAGAAGCGGGUUGGGGGAGUUCCCAUUGUGGCUCAUUGGGUUCGUUAACUGCUGAGCCACAACAGAACUCCUGCCUCUGUAAUUAACAGCAUAUUUUAACCAACAAAAUGAAUUAGUAUUCCUGAAUUAUUCUACAUCAGUUGAAAGACAUUGUAUAUAUGUAUGUAUAAAUGUAUGUGUGGAUAUUUAUAUGUAUGGGUAUGCAUAUAUAUGUGUAUAUAUGUGUGUGCAUGUAUAUGUAUAUAUAUGUAUAUAUACACAGGAUAUAUUUUAUGUCUCUAUAUAUCUAUAUAUCUAAAUUUCUUUUGAGCCAGAAUUUUAAGCAUUUUGAUUUCCUUGGCAACCGGGUAUCAUGUGAUCGCAAGUGAAAUCCAGUAUAACAUCUCUACUCCUUUGGAUAAUACCUAAAUGAAUAAGGAUAUUAGGUAUAAAAAGCCCAAAACUGGAGAGAUUCCAUUUAUCAGUUUGCUUUUCUAACAAGCCAGGUGUUCUUAGAUUAAAAAGAAGAAAACAGAACAUUGUUCGGUUAACCUGAUUUUUAGUUUAACUCUAUUUAAAUGAACAAAAGGUCUAAUUAAAGAGGCAUCUCCUGUUACACUUCCAGAAAACAGACCCAGAUUGCUGUAAAUUGUGGUUUUCUUCAAUCACUCAAGUUCUGCUCUCUAGGGAACCUCUCUUAGGCUGACUGAGAUUUUUCCUGGGAUGGGCCCAGCUUCGAAAGCUCUCAGGACCCUAUCAGUUCUGUCUUUAUUAUCCUGAAUGAACUGGAAUUUGGCAAAGAAGUUGUGCAUAGUGCCUAGUGAUAUUCAGCUGGCUGUGGUUGUGUGUCUGUCCAUAAUUUCCCAGUGUAAUUGUGCCCUUGGACUUCUCUGAAAUUUGGUUUGCCAUGUAAACAGCCAUCGGUGUGGUUGGAGGAGAUAAACUGGCUUUAUUUCACUGAAACAUUAGAUCUGAUAAAACAUUGAGGUUCGUUCCUAUUAUCAAUAGGGAUUAUAAUGUUAGCAGGGCUAGCUACCUGAUUUACGAGGCCCAGUGCAAAAUGAAAGUGUGAAUACAUUUAGAAUGGUUAAGCAAUGAGAUUCUACUGUACAGCACAGGCAACUAUAUUCCAUCUUUUGGGAUAGAACAUGAUGGAAGAUAAUAUGAAAAGAAAGAAUAUGUAUAUAAACACAUGACUGGGUCACUUUGCUGUACAGCAGAAAUUGGCACAACAUUGUGGAUCAACUAUACUUUAAAAAAAUAGAUAAACAACAAGGUCCUACUUAUAGCACAGGAAACUAUAUUCAGUAUCUUGUAAUAACCUAUAAUAGAAAAGAAUCUGAAAAAGAAUACAUAUACACACAUGUAUAUUUCUAUACAUAUCUAUAUCUAUAUAUGUGUAAAACUGAAUCACUUUCUAUACACGAGAAACUAACACAACAUUGUAAACUAACUG